rnacentral:rRNA from 1 species
UACGAAGGGGGCUAGCGUUGCUCGGAAUCACUGGGCGUAAAGCGCACGUAGGCGGAUCUUUAAGUCAGGGGUGAAAUCCUGGAGCUCAACUCCAGAACUGCCUUUGAUACUGAGGAUCUCGAGUCCGGGAGAGGUGAGUGGAACUGCGAGUGUAGAGGUGAAAUUCGUAGAUAUUCGCAAGAACACCAGUGGCGAAGGCGGCUCACUGGCCCGGUACUGACGCUGAGGUGCGAAAGCGUGGGGAGCAAACAGGG